rnacentral:rRNA from 1 species
GUGGGGAAUAUUGGACAAUGGGCGAAAGCCUGAUCCAGCCAUGCCGCGUGUGUGAAGAAGGUCUUCGGAUUGUAAAGCACUUUAAGUUGGGAGGAAGGGCAGUAAGUUAAUACCUUGCUGUUUUGACGUUACCGACAGAAUAAGCACCGGCUAACUUCGUGCCAGCAGCCGCGGUAAUAUGAAGGGUGCAAGCGUUAAUCGGAAUUACUGGGCGUAAAGCGCGCGUAGGUGGUUUUGUAAGUUGGAGGUGAAAUCCCCGGGCUCAACCUGGGAACUGCCUCCAAAACUGCAUGACUAGAGUACGGUAGAGGGUAGUGGAAUUUCCUGUGUAGCGGUGAAAUGCGUAGAUAUAGGAAGGAACACCAGUGGCGAAGGCGACUACCUGGACUGAUACUGACACUGAGGUGCGAAAGCGUGGGGAGCAAACAGGAUUAGAUACCCGUGUAGUCC